rnacentral:rRNA from 1 species
GAUGAACGCUGGCGGCGUGCUUAACACAUGCAAGUCGAACGGAAAGGCCCAAGCUUGCUUGGGUACUCGAGUGGCGAACGGGUGAGUAACACGUGGGUGAUCUUCCCUGCACUUCGGGAUAAGCCUGGGAAACUGGUUCUAAUACCGGCGAGGACGAUGGGUUGGAUGCCAUUGUUGAAAGUUUUUGCGGUGUGGGAUGAGCUCGCGGCCUAUCAGCUUGUUGGUGGGGUAAUGGCCUACCAAGGCGUCGACGGGUAGCCGGCCUGAGAGGGUGUACGGCCGCAUUGGGCCUCAGAUACGGCCCAGACUCCUAAAGGAGGCAGCAGUGGGGAAUAUUGGACAAUGGGAGCAAGCCUGAUGCAGCGACGCCGCGUGAGGGAUGACGGCCUUAGGGUUGUAAACUCCUUUCGCUAGGGACGAAGCGUUUUUGUGACGGUACCUGGAGAAGAAGCACCGGCUAACUACGUG